ACAACCUGCAUCUUUGCUAAGCCAAAGAUUGCAUGAUCAUUUUUGUAAGGAAACCAAGUUCUUUUCUUUUUAAGUGGUUUGGAGCCAUUUUUCUUUGUUUUACUGCUAACAUAUGGAGACUUCUUUGCUGUAACUUCAGAAACACUGAUUUCCUUUAAUUUCUGCAGGAUGUUCAGUGCUAAUGGAGGAAGAUUGCCACAUUUCCCUCUGACUGCACAACACCACAAGCAACUUAAAAUAGUGCUGAGGCUUCCGUGGUGGCAUUAUCACACUGAGCCUUCCGUCAAUCAAGCUGUAACUAGCACCAACCACGGCAUGAGAUUUCACCCUUUUGUGAGUACUGAAAAUAUUGCUGCUUAGAAAGCGCCAGAGUCAAAACAACUUGCACAGCUGGAAUUUCUGCCACAAUUGCGACGGACAGCUGGGUCCCGGCAUCGGCUGUCGAUGUGACCAGGGCAUGUGUAUCGAGGCUUCAUGUUAUUUGUAUACAAAACAAGAGUUCGCUUCUCUGCUGGCCUCCCCUUGGCUAUGAGACACCAACUGUGAAUGCGGGGAGCGCCGAUUUCUCAGCCGUCGUGGCUACUUUUCAAAAAGGUAAAUGUUCCACAUGUCCAUUUCCCCCCAGCAGAGAUGUCGUGGCGGGGAAUGCUUUCAUCUGCCGAGUUUCUGCACACCAUGGAGGUGUUCGUACACAUGCUAUUCAAAUUGUACAUUAAAAACAACAACAACAACCCAUUUUCAAAGGGUUCAAAGGGAACCCCAGGUCCAGAGCUCAAAUGUGGCCUUCCAAAUGUGGCUCUCGGGACUCUCCCCAAGCCACACUCCCUUCCUGGCCUUGCUCCUUGUAUUUCUUAAGUGGUUUUGCCUGGCUGGAAUGUGCUCUUGGACUGUAAUCAUUUAUCUCGCUUGUUUGAAUGGGGGCUGUAGAGAGCAUAGAACAGCAUAGAAGCCUCUGGCUUCGGCAUGGGAGGAAUGUAGCCUAUUGUACAAAGGACAAUUGCUCUGCCCAAUUUUGCU